GUUUUGUCUUUGUCUCCUCUUUUCUACCGACAGCUUUUUUUUUUUUAAUUUCAGACACAAAAUCUUUGAGUAAUAAAAAAAAAACGAUUGCAAUGAUUCGGCGCUUGGACGAUUCGACUCUGGUUAAUUUAAAGUAUGGAUCCAGCAAAAGAGAAGCCGAUCGGAGACAUGCAAGAUCAGAUCGUGGUGUACUCGUACAUUUUUGGAAUAUAUACGAAGAUGGCGAGAGCACCGACAGAAGAAGUUCAUCCGAUAUAUAAGGAUGGAAAAGUGUCGUGACCACUCAGAAGCUGGAAUUUGUAUUUUUACAGAGUAUAUAUAAAUUCCUAAAAGACUUAAGGAGAAUCAAAAAUGGAUAUAUAUACAAACAAUGCUGAGAUGAGGCACGACUACGAAACCGUUUAAUAACUAAAGCAGAUGGAAAGGUGUUGUGACCACUCAGAAGCUGGAAUUUAUAUUUUUAACAGAGUAUAUAUAAAUUCCUAAAAGAUGCAAGGAGAAACGAAAAUGGAUUUUCAGAGAAAACAAUUCUGAGAUGAGGCAGGACUAUGUAACCGUUUAAUACCUUAAGAAGGAAGCCAUACUUGUCGAAGCCCCAUAUGGAGAUUGCAAAAUAUUGCCAAGUCGGGGAGACGGAGACGGUAUCACACGGCUUUGAUACAACUGUGAGUCUAAGCCGACAUCUGGGGAUGUAUUAGUGAUAUCCUUCAAUACCCUGCCAAAAACAGAUUUCAAAGGAACAUAUACAAUGCAAAUUGCGAUAUAUCAUGUGAAUGUGAGCAAGAAAUUACAAUUACCUGUUACGUGAGAGAUGUGAGCUCCUCACUGCUGAUCUUCUCAACUUUGAUCCUUUUGAGAGGUCGUAUCUUUGAUGUGGAGGUGUUAUCUGGAAUGUCAACGACAUCAACAGAUGGCUUAGGAGGAGUUGUCAUCUUGCUAGAGCUUGUCAUCUUGCUAGAGCUUUCAUCACUGUGUGGAGCACUUUGGCUUCGAUGAACCAAGCAGUCUUCCAUGGUCGAAUUUCAUCAAGUUAGGAUAUUCCGCAAAACAUUAAAGAAUGAAUAAAAGGGUUGUGGCAGAGAUAUCAUGCAAUGCUUCUGUGGAAACUAAGGUAAGUAAGGACUGUUAUAUAUAUAUAUAGGUUCUUAUUCAAAAAUAAUAUAUGAACUUAAUGAAAAGUUAUACUAUUAGUCCUGAAUUAGGUAUGGAACUGAUUCUGGCUAGUUAGGAAAAUGGAAAAUAAAUGUUGAUUGUUGAUUCUGUAUAAACUGGAUAAAAAUUAUUAUUCAUUCACGUUUGAAGACAAUUCGAAUAAAUAGGAUAAUCAAUAUUUGAAAAAUUAAUUUUAUUCUUACCAAUAAUAAUAAAUAUUUUAUUUGAAUAAUUGAAUAAAUAUAAAAACCAAAAACAAAAACAACAAACUCUUAGCAAAGAAAUAUUAAAAAACAACAAUGAAAAACACCAACAAUGAAAAAAAAAAAUCCAAUAAUUAGUUUCAAAUCAGCCACUUCCAUCUAUUUUUUUCUUCUUUGAAGCAAUAGAGUUCUGGUGCAGCGACUUUGUUUUUUUCCAAAUAGCAUCAUUGAGACUCCAAACUUUCAUGGCAUUGAAUGACGCGACUUCAGAGGAGUUGUUUUCAUCGAUUGAAAUUCCAAAACCAUAAGAUUUACCGACGAUGUCCACAAUCUCAUGUGGUAAAAUAUCUUGAACUUCAAUCUGUUAAUUUUCAGAUAAAGAUUAAAUCAGCAAAUAUAAUAGUUUUCAUAAAUAAUUUUAGUUACACUAUUAAACAAACAUUAAAAUAUUAGUAAUCACCUUGUCAACGUUAAGAUUGACAGUCUUGUAUGCAGAUUUUUUCACAAUAUAUGUGGCAACUGAGUCAAGAAGUGUGAAUUUUGAUUCACCAGUUUGAUCCUGCACAAGUAAAGUUAACUUGUAUCUGCAUACAGAAGAUUCAAUUUUAAAUUUACAGCAUUAGAAUAAAUUUUAUAAAAUAAAUAUAUGUAACAUAAGAUGUUUAUUGAAAAUAUGACCUUGGUGAAACCUUGGUAACAUUAACUUGACAAACUCCACACCACCAUCUUGGCACAUCUAAUUCAUCAAAUGAAAUAGGUGAUUUGAAAACCUUAUUCUGGCAGACCACACAAGCACAAUACCACCAUCCAUCCAUGAUAUCAAUAGCAUAAACUGAACAAAUCACUCUGCAUUUUCCACCCUAGAAGCAACAUAAAAAGAUUAAAAAAUGCAGUUAAAUAUUAAGUUUAGAUAUUAUUGCCAGAUGAUAUAGAUUAAACAAUUUAUAUUGUUUUUGUUUAUAAUAUUAAGUUUUUCUAAUUAAUUGCUGAGAAAAUAUUGUUAAAAUAACACGAUUUAUUCUUGUUUUGAAUGAAUAAAGUUUUUAUGUUUAUAUAGGAUAUUAGAAUAUUGUUUUGAUUUUAUACCAGAUUUUAUUAGAUUAAUAUUUAAGUAGAUAUUAAUUAGAAAUGCGGACGAUAAAGAGGGAAUAUUAUAUGGAUUUAAACGAUUUGAUAUCAUUAAACCAGAAAGUAGUUUAUGAGUUCUUUGGUAAUAGGAAUUGUUGAGAUAAUAGAAGAAAACCUUUUCAGAAUGUUUCAUCUCUUGAAUGGUGCUGAAAGGAUAUUUAGACCAUCUCUGGUUUUUAUCCUGGAUAAGUAUGUUGUUACUAACCAGCUGGGUAUUUUCAAGAGUGAUUUCAGAACCAUGAAACCUAAUAAAAACAAAAACAGAAGAAAUAACUCAGUGUAAUUAAUUAUAAUAAUUAAUAUUUAUAAAUGAGAUACUCACUUUUGUUUAAGAGAUUUUGCAUCGUUGAUAUCUGGGUUUAUAAACACCAAAGUAGAAUUAAAUGCAUUGGAUAGUCCCCACUCAUCUGAAAUAAAAAAAUAAACAUUUUUAUAAAAAUAUAAAAGACAACAUUAAAUAAAUAUAUGAUAAUAAAAAUGAUAGCAUUAUAUAAUCCGAAAAUACCUUUGAACUUGACGAUUUUUGCAAAUCGGAUUAAACAAAUAUCUCCAAUUUUUGGGUUGGCUUCUUUGAUCAAAAGCUCAGCUAAGCUACCUGAGACACAGCACUCCAGGCGAUGGUCGCUGUAAAAAUAGUAAAUGCAAUUUAGGAUCAUAAUUAUGUAGCAAUUUCGGAUCAAAUUAAUGUUUUAGAAUCAACUUUAAAAAUAUUACUUGAUAUCUCCUAGAGUAAACACCAAUUUGGUCACUUCUUUCCUUCCAAUUUGAAGAACAGUUUGACUCCCAAAGUCUAUGAUUACUCCAAUCACAUCUGUUAUAUAUCAAAAACGAUAGUAUAAUAAAUAAUGUAUAUAGAUACUUAAUUGGAAAAUAAAUAAGAUAAAAGAAGUUACCAAUAAGAAAACGACUAUCACUUGAACCAUUUAUAAUGGUGCCAAACUCAUGUAGAUCGAGACACAUGUUGUCGCCACUUGUGAAAUCACAAUCCGUUAUUGAUGUAUGUUGCAACAACUCCAUUUUGUAAACAUGGUUGGUAGGUCGAUUCAUACCAGAUGCUGAACUUAAUAAAAAGUUGGUAAUAACUUUCCAUUCUCCAACAACAAAUUGGCUCUCGAAUUGUUCCAGUAGGGAAUGUUUGCAAAUGGCAUGGAUUUUGAUACCCUAUAAGAUCAUACAAAAAUACCAAAUUAAAUCAUAUACUGAAUCAAUAUGCAUAUACAUAAUAUCUAAAGUGUAUAGAAAGUGAGGAUAGAGAGUAAGGGUUUCUCACAUUUUUGUCGCCAAGAACCAUCUCAAGAGAUGCACCUUUUUGGUGACUGAAGGAAUUCCAUUUAUGAAUCACUUUCACAGCAACUCUCCAUGAAUAUUUAAAUGGCUUAACUUCACUUAAAGUGCUGAUUUUGAUUUUGGAUUCCAUAAGUGUAGAUGAGGAUAAAAAGUUUUGAGAUUUCGAAUGGUUAGUUUGGUGAGUUGUGUUACCGUCCGUUAUUUAUAUAGUUGUAUACGGGGUAAAUUUUUAUUAAUCGCGAAUAUACCAAAAGAAUAUAAUUAGGAAUAUUCAACUAAAGCUAUAUUAGAAUGUUGUUUUGAUUUUAUACCAGAUUUUAAUGAGUUGGUAUUUUUAAUGAUUAAAAUUGUGUGUUUAGAUAGGAUAUUAGAAUGUUGUUUUGAUUUUAUACCAGAUUUUAUUAGAUGUUAAUUUAUUUUCAGUUUUAUAAUUUUUUCAAAUCGUAUUAUUUUUCUUAUACAGAGAGAAUAUUAUAUGGAUUUAAAGAUUCGAGAUCAUUAUACCAGAAAUCAGUUUUUAAGUUUAGAUAUUAUACCAGAAUGUAGUUUCGAUUUAUAAAUCUGUUUAUAAUAUUAAUUAAAAAAAAUAUUGCUGUUUAUAUGAAAUAUUUUAUUAGUAUUAUUAAUAAAUGAGAAAUCAAUACUAUAAUUAUUCAAAGUAUACGAUAUUAUUCUGUAAACAUAUAAAACAUAGUAUUUGAACAAUAAUAAGAAUCUACAUAUAUAUAUUCAUAUAAACGUGAUAUAAAUAUAUAUGUUCAUUAUUGUUGAUGCAUCAAAUGUUUAAUCUAUAUAAAACGAUGGUUAUAGGAGUUGGUGAGAUUAUUUUUAAAGUAUAAUCAAUUAAUGUAAAAGACAAUGACCAAUUAUAAGAAAAUCUAGAUAAAUAAACCGGAAAUCUAUGAAGCAAGGAAAUCUUAAAUAAUUAAGCCACGAUCAGGAACAAAUAAAUAAAGAGUUAAAUAAAAACAAUACACUUAAAAAAAAUGCAGUGGCACAAAAACGUAAAUAUGAUUGAAACAAAAGGUCACCUCAAAAAAGGGCCUUCU